rnacentral:rRNA from 1 species
UAAUUCUAGAGCUAAUACAUGCUGGUAGGCCCGACUUUUGCGGAAGGGCGGUAUUUAUUAGAUAACAAGCCAAUAUUCCUCUGGUCUAUUGUGGUGACUCAUAAUAACUGAUCGAAUCGCAAGGCCUUUGGCCGCGAUAAGUCAUUCAAGUUUCUGCCCCAUCAGCUUUCGAUGGUAGUGUAUUGGACUACCAUGGCGUUUACGGGUAACGGAGGAUUAGGGUUCGAUUCCGGAGAGGGAGCCUGAGAAACGGCUACCACAUCUAAGGAAGGCAGCAGGCGCGUAAAUUACCCAAUCCUGACUCAGGGAGGUAGUGACAAGAAAUAACGGACCGAGGCCUUCGGGCUUCGGGAUU